UCUGGGUGUGGUGGCGCGUGCCUGUAGUCCCAGCUACUCAGGAGGCUGAGGUGGGAGGAUCACUUGAGCCCCGGAGUUCUGGGCUGUAGUGCGUUAUGCUGAUCGGGUGUCCGCACUAAGUUCAACAUCAAUAUGGUGACCUCCCGGGAGCAGGGAACCACCAGGUUGCCUAAGGGGAGGGGAACUGGCCCAGGUCGGAAACGGAACAGGUCAAAACUCCGGUGCUGAUCAGUAGUGGGAUCGUGCCUGUGAAUAGCCACUGCGCUCCAGCCUGGGCAACACACCGAGAAGCUUCUA
rnacentral:SRP_RNA from 1 species